GCGGAUUUAGCUCAGUCGGGAGAGCGCCAGACUGAAGAGAAACUUCGGUCAUCGAAAUCUGGAGGUCCUGUGUUCGAUCCACAGAAUUCGCA
rnacentral:tRNA from 1 species